rnacentral:rRNA from 1 species
GACGAACGCUGGCGGCGUGCUUAACACAUGCAAGUCGAACGGAAAGGCCUCUUUCGGGGGGUACUCAAGUGGCGAACGGGUGAGUAACACGUGAGUAACCUGUCCUUGACUUUGGGAUAACUUCAGGAAACUGGGGCUAAUACCGGAUAGGAGCUCCUGCUGCAUGGUGGGGGUUGGAAAGUUUCGGCGGUUGGGGAUGGACUCGCGGCUUAUCAGCUUGUUGGUGGGGUAGUGGCUUACCAAGGCUUUGACGGGUAGCCGGCCUGAGGGGGUGACCGGCCACAUUGGGACUGAGAUACGGCCCAGACUCCGACGGGAGGCAGCAGUGGGGAAUAUUGCACAAUGGGUGGAAGCCUGAUGCAGCAACGCCGUGUGCGGGAUGACGGCCUUCGUGUUGUAAACCGCUUUCGCUCAUGACGAAGCUUUGUGUGACGGUAGUGGGUAAAGAAGCACCGGCUAACUACGUG